CGGGAUGGACAUAGCAAUGGUAUAUCGGUUGUCACGCCAGUGGCAUGGCCGGGUAGCUACCUAUGGAAUGGAUAAACGCUGAAAGCAUCUAAGCGUGAAGCCAACCUAAAGAUGAGACUUCCCAUUCGAAAGAAGUAAGACCCCCUGAAAGUUACAGGGUUGAUAGGUUAGAAGUGUAAGCAUAGUGAUAUGUUCAGCUGACUAAUACUAAUAGGUCGAGGACUUAAUUUC
rnacentral:rRNA from 1 species